CCGACAAAAAAAACAUUACAAAAAAGAAAUGUAAUUUGUGAAAUGCACUUUAAAGAAAGUGAAAUUGAAAAAAGUUAUUUCACAACUAUUAAUGGGAUUCUUUAUGAAAUACCUAAAAGAAUAGCAACUCAGAAAGAUGGAGCUAUUCCAUUAUUUUUGUUCACUGAAAAUAGUCAAAAUGACAUUAAUGUGAAUGAAAUUGUUGAUGAAAAAAUAUUUUUUUCAGAUAUUUUAACAAAAAAACCAGAAGUACCAUUACCUUCUAAAAAUAGUCUUUUGUUUGCGCACCAAAUUUCAUUGUAUAUUUAAAUUGGACAGACAACAAAAUGUUUAAUAGUAAACGCAUAAUUUUAUAUCCGGAUUUGAAAGUUAAGGUGUAUGUUAGUAAAUAUGAAGUAAAAUUAGAUAUUCAAGAGGUACAGCAUAUUAGUGGUAUGACUGCACUGUUUAAAUUAAUAGAUAAGUUUAUUCCAUGUGGCAGUGUUGAUUCUAACAAAUCUAAAACGUGUAAAGAGUAUGUCGUGAAAAAAAAUGUAAAAUUAAGAGGUCGACAAAUCAUGUUCAGUUCCUCUUGUAUAAAAUUAAGGAGGAAAAUAAAUAGAGAGAAAAAAAACAAAUAAAAUGAAAGAGAGUAAAAAUAAAUUAAUAAAACGUUUUAAAACCACUGAUCGGCAAUGUUCAAGACUUAAAAAAAAGUUGACAACCUUAAAGAGCAUAUACAGACAAUUAAAAAAGCGUGUUCUGAAAGUAAAGAGAAAAUUAUUGAGGAAGCAAUUUCACAAUUACCUUGUGAACAGUAAAUUGCUACAAGGACGUGUUUUGCAGCUUCAAAAAUAUCAGACAGUAGAAAUAUGCGUUACACUAGUAACUGGAUUUACGAGUAUAUACUUUUACGCAUAGAAAGUAAGAAGACUUAUGAACAUCUUCGAAAAAGAGAAAUAUUAAAAAUACUAUGUGUAGAUACACUCUCUCGAUAUCUUCGAAUUUUGAAAACAUCUUUCGGAUUCCAGCAAUAUAUUUUUGAAGGAAUGAAAAUUAAAGCAAAUGCAAUGCCUUCGGAGGACAGACGUGGAUAUUAUUAUUAAUCGUUCAAAUAUAAAGUUUGAAGGCUUCACGAACCUAGGAGAUUGGACACUUGAUCAUCAAAAAAAGGCGACCAUGUUUUAGUUUUUAUUUUUCAUUAUUCUUACUGAGAGAAGUGGAUUUUUGUGGAUGCAGUAAUAAAUGAUGGUGCAACUUGGAAUCGAUCUAUGUGGAGUACAUUCGGUGUUACAGAAGAUGAAAAAGCGUUUUUCAUCCGUGUUGUGAUGAAAGAAGAAGAUUAUGGCGAUUUUUCUCGUUAAUGAGGGAUUCCUGUGGCGCAAACGAUCACCCUGACAAAAGGCUGCAAUGUAGAAGGUACAGAAAUUUUCAAAGUAUUGCUCAAUUUAAAAGAUGUAAAUAAUAUUAAUGACAGAAAGGAACAAUGGGAAAGUAUAUUGGACACCAUUAUCGAUAAAGGUUCGUGCAGUGAUUUCAUUAAUGAAGAUGUUAAAAAAGAACAUAAUUAUUCCUACUCUGAAGCAUCAGAAUAUGCGGUUACUUAUGUAGCAGGAUACGUAAGUAGAAAGGGAUCCAGAUUCGUCAAAUUCAUGAAGAAUAAUAAACCUUUUAUUUGCAACGAGUGUUGCUCAUGUAUAAUUAUGGCUGAUAGUGAGACACUUCUCGAGCGCCAUAAGCUCAUACAUUUAAAAACAAAAGGCUUUUUGAAGCAUCCUUCCCUAGAUUUAUACAAAUUGAUUUGUAUAAUUGAGAAUGCAAUCACAAGUGUUGUACAUGAGACAGAUAUUGAGCCAGACACCCUUUUUCAGGUGACGCAAAAGCUUCACGAUUUGUCUCCCAUACCCUUCGUGGGAUGUGUACAACAUUGCGAAAUUUUCACUAAGCGUAUAUUAACUUUUUAUUUGACCACGAGAAUGUUUCUCGUUUGCAAAAGAAAAAGUAUUUAUGAUGGCGUAGAGAGAAAAAAAUUUCAAGAAAAAAUAAAAUCUGCCAAACUUGUAGGAUUUCCAAAAAAAAGAGAUUUAAAAUUUCAAAUAUGGACCCAGCAAACACGUUCUAUAAAUGUUCUAUAACAGUGAUGUCACAGUUUUACAGAACAGUUGUUACAAAAGAGUGACAGAACUGUUCUAUAUUAUGAUAACGUCACAGUUCUAUAACAAUGUUAUGUAACAUGUCUAUAACACGAAAGUCACAAAUGAUCUGUAACUGACGUUCCAAGGUAG